rnacentral:antisense_RNA from 1 species
GAGAGAGAAUAGGGAUGAGAAGCUCAGCUUGUAGAAUUGGCAGGUGAUGUUUGCAGUCAUUAAUCAUUUGAGAAGUAGAGAGAGAAGCCAAGCAGGAAAUCUUCAGACUGGAAAAGAAGUGCUCACCAUUAAAAAAAAAAAAAAAAAAAAAAAAUCCAGUGUGGUUCACAGCUGUAAUCCCAACACUUGGAGGCUGAGGCAGGAGAAAUACGUGAAGCCAGGAGUUUGAGACCAGCCUGGGCGAUAUAACAAGCCCCACAUCUCUACAAAGAGAAAAAAAAUGUAAAAAAAAAGAAGCUUUAAACCUAAGACGGCAGAAUUCAAGACUGUUGUCCUUGAGAACUUCCUGGCUCUGGAAAAAGCUCAGUGAGUUAGUCUCAUCCUGUCGUUAGCUCUGUUUUUUAGGGGCUCACUUUGUCUUCACGACAGUACCUUGCACCAUUCUCAUGAGUAUCCCAGGGUGGUGCAAGGCAGUUUUCUGCACUUCCCAGAAUGCCCUGUCAGCUGGCUUCUGGGUAGGUUGUGCAAAUUGGAGGCCCCUGUGAAAGAUCGCUAUGGGGUGGGAGGAAGAAGCUUCGUUUAUCUGCCUGCUGGCUGCAGGGUAGAGGACUGCAGUGGGGUUAUAGGGAUCACCACCUGCACAUGUGGAGCUUUGAGCGGCUUCACUCACAGUUUCUGCUCAACAGUGGCAGCCCUGGAGUCCUUCGGGGGCGAGUGUGGGCUCCUGGGCUCCAGGCCAGGGGCAGUCCCAGCUUCCUGAUCUCGAGGUAGCAUCUCCUCCCUUUUGCUCCAUAGCACCUCGCCCUUCUCAGUGACGUGCCUCCUUCUCAGUCAUGCGCCUCCAGCUCUAACAAUGUCCUUGAAAACAAGACCAUGCGCGGUGGCUCACGCCUGUAAUCCCAACACUUUGGGAGUCUGAGGCAGGCGGAUCACUUGAGGUCAGGAGUUUGAGACCAGCCUGGCCAACAUGUAAUCCCAGCUACUCCCUCCACUUGAUUUGUGUUCCUUGAAGAAAUUUGCAUAAUCCCUGUAUCCGGUUGGCAGAUAGCAGAGAUGUAGCCUCAGUCUUUCCUUUAAAAAUUUUGCUUUAGGCAGGGCGCGGUGGCUCACACCUAUAAUCCCAGCACGUUGGGAGGCCAAGGUGGGCAGAUCACGAGAGCAGGAAUUUGAGAUCGGCCUAGCCAAUAUGGUGAAACCCCGUCUCUACUAAAAAUAUAAAAAUUAGCUGGGCGUGGUGGCACAAGCCUGUAAUCCCAGCUAUUUGGGAGGCUGAGGCAGGAGAAUCGCUUGAAUCCAGGAGGCAGAGGUUGAGAUGAGCCGAGAUCACGCUAUUGCACUCCAGCCUGGGCAACAGAGGGAUACUCCAUCUCAAAAAAAAUUUUUUGCUUUAGGGCCAAUCGUGGUGACUCACGCUUGUAAUUCCGGCACUUUGGGAGGCUGAGGCAGGUGGAUAAUUUGAGGUCAGGGGUUCGAGAGCAGACUGCCCAUGAUGGUGAAAUCCCAUCUCUACUAAAAAUACAAAAAAAGCCAGGUAUGGUGGCAUACGCCUGUAAUCCCAGCUACUCGGGAGGCUGAGGCAGGAGAAUCACUUGAACCCGGGAGGUUUAGGUGGCAGUGAGCCAAGAUUGCACCACUGCACUCCAGCCUGGGUGACAGAGCGAGACUCCAUCUCAAAAAAAAAAAAAAAAAGGGCCGGACGCGGUGGCUCACGCCUUUAAUCCCAGCACUUUGGAAGGCCGAGGCGGGUGGAUCACCUGAGGUCAGGAGUUCGAGACCAGCCUGGCCAACAUGGUGAAACCCCGUCUCUACUAAAAACAUAAAAAAAUUAGCCGGGCAUGGUAGUGGGCGCCUGUAAUGCCAGCUACUGAGGAUGCUGAGGCAGGAGAAUUGCUUGAACCCAGGAGACAGAGGUUGCAGUGACCUGAGAUUGUGCCACUACACUCCAGCCUGGGCAACAAAGCAAGACUCUGUCUUAAACAAACAAAAAGCCCAGUGUGGUGGUGUAUAGCUACUUUGUGGUCCUAGCUACUUUGAAGGCUGAGGUGGGAGGAUUGCUUGAGUACAACAUGUAGAGGCUGCAGUGAGCUGUGAUUGUGCCACUGCACCCCAGUGUGGGUGACAGAGCAAGACCCUGUCUCAAAAUAAUAAAAUUAACAUUCAUUAACAAUAAUGUUCAUAUAUAUGUUAAUGUAUAUGUUAAUCGUAAUGUUUAUAUUAUAUUUUACCAUGAUAAAAACAUUUUAAAAUC